AAAUCAUGUCCUUCAUUGCUUGUGAUCAAGCUCACAUCAUCUGAAUUGCUUAUGACCAAGUCAGUAAAGAACUCUUACUAGUUGACUAAACAUGUACCUAGUAUUUAACAAGGAGGCUAUAAAACAAAUAGUUGUCCUUAAGCCUUUAGGCAAGCACGUUUGAAAAACAUCUAAAGCUGGCCAGCCCUAGAAAGUAACCAGAAAAAAAAUAAUUCUGAUGAGGCAUUGCAAAUUGCUUUCCAGUUCCAAGAGAGUGAAUGCCAGAAAUACUGUUGAGGAAUCUGACUUAUUCUGACAGCAGCAACAACAAAGCAGCUUUCCACAUCCUUUCAUAGGUAAGGCAUUUAGAAGAAGUAGUAUUUAAAAGUUCCUGUACAACGUCCCCGUGAUGCCAAAAACUUGCAAAGUGUGCAAGAAUGGUCUCUCCAUGACUUCCUAGUCCUCUGUCAACAGAUCUUUAGCCAGCUGCAAUUUCCCACACUAUACGUUAGUUUCCAAUCUGUAGAGCCCAAUUCCUAACUUCACUCCCUCUGCUAGGCCGAGUGCCCUAAAGUUCCCUGCUCUGUACAUGAAAUGUUUUCCUCAGCUUAAUUGUGGCUGGUGUGCUUAUAAUCGAUGUGUGGGCUGUUAGUCUCACUUGUACUGAGAUAUUUAAGAAAAUAACCCUGUCAGUCUUAGCAUGGUUUGGAUAAACACAGAACUGUGCUGAACUGCCUUCCCAGAAAUGCAUAGACUGGAUUCACGCACUUGCAGAUUGUGGCCCAGGAGAAGUCAUGAGAAGAGACAAAGCUCCCUGGAAAUGAGAAGCAUCUCGGACCUAGAGUGAAGCCAGGGCGCUGGGAUACUCACUACUGCCCUAAGUAAUUGCUACAGUGACUGCACUGCAUCAUGGUGGGGUUCUUUAUGUUAGGAUUGGUAAACAGGGAGCUCUGAAACAUGUCAAAGGGAAGAGUUGGUGUGUCUGCAUUAAGGCUACUCUGGAAAAGGAUCCUACUCAGGGUGCAGGAGUGGAGGCAGAGGGCAGUCCCUGUGCCCAAGGGGCAGCCUGUCUCUCUGGCAAGCAAAAUGUCCCAGGGAAGGGUCCACCAGCCCCCUGACCCUCCUCCUCCUUCCACACGAAGGCCUCUUUCAGGCUGCAGAAGCCCCCUCCCAGCACAGCCAUGCUGGGCCUGGGGCGUGGUGCGCCAUCACUGCGGCCAUCACAGAGGCUUCCUGAUGUCACAGUGGAAUCUGCCCCCCCCCCUUUGUCCAGGGCCCUAUAAAAG